rnacentral:tRNA from 1 species
GCGGAGGUGGCGGAAUGGCAGACGCGCAUGCUUCAGGUGCAUGUAUCCGUAUGGGUGUGAGGGUUCAAAUCCCUUUCUCCGCA